AACGAACGCUGGCGGCAUGCCUAACACAUGCAAGUCGAACGAUACCUUCGGGUCUAGUGGCGCACGGGUGCGUAACGCGUGGGAACCUGCCCUUAGGUUCGGAAUAACUCCCCGAAAGGGGUGCUAAUACCGGAUAAUGUCUUCGGACCAAAGAUUUAUCGCCUUUGGAUGGGCCCGCGUUGGAUUAGCUAGUUGGUAGGGUAAAAGCCUACCAAGGCGACGAUCCAUAGCUGGUCUGAGAGGAUGAUCAGCCACACUGGGACUGAGACACGGCCCAGACUCCUACGGGAAGCAGCAGUGGAGAAUAUUGGACAAUGGGCGAAAGCCUGAUCCAGCAAUGCCGCGUGAGUGAUGAAGGCCUUAGGGUUGUAAAGCUCUUUUACCCGGGAUGAUAAUGACAGUACCGGGAGAAUAAGCUCCGGCUAACUCCGUG
rnacentral:rRNA from 1 species